rnacentral:rRNA from 1 species
AUGGAUCUUCGCAUAGUUUGCCGGGGGUGCUCUCGGUCGCACUACCCUUCUGUUCCCAGUCGUGAGGCGACCUUGUUUCUUGGGCUUUCUAAGCACGUCAAGCUCCUUGAUAUACCUGGUUAUAAAGGCCGAUAUCGCAUGUGGAGUUUGAAAAAUUCCUUCAUGUAUGGCUUUCCUCCUAGAUGUCCAAACAGCCCACAUCGUCACUGCCACCAGGGUGAACUGCUCGUGCGAGAGGGACUCCAGCAGGUUGAAGAGCCAACUUUUGGCUCGGUUCUCCUGUGUAGCAGCAAUGGCACUGCCUAG